rnacentral:rRNA from 1 species
GACGAACGCUGGCGGCGUGCUUAACACAUGCAAGUCGAACGAAAAUACCAAGCUUGCUUGGUUGAUUAGUGGCGAACGGGUGAGUAACACGUGAGUAACCUGCCCCUUACUUUCCUGGAUAACUGCUCGAAAGGGUAGCUAAUACGGGAUAUUCUGACCAGCCUGCAUGGGUUGGUUUGGAAAGGUUGUUUUUCUGGUAAGGGAUGGGCUCGCGGCCUAUCAGCUUGUUGGUGGGGUGAUGGCCUACCAAGGCUUUGACGGGUAGCCGGCCUGAGAGGGUGGACGGUCACACUGGGACUGAGAUACGGCCCAGACUCCUACGGGAGGCAGCAGUGGGGAAUAUUGCACAAUGGGCGCAAGCCUGAUGCAGCGACGCCGCGUGAGGGAUGAAGGCCUUCGGGGUGUAAACCUCUUUCGUCAGGGAACAAGGCACUGCUUUUUUGGUGGUGUUGAGGGUACCUGGAUAAGAAGCGCCGGCUAACUACGUG